AUGAUUAAAAAACAUGAAAAAAUUGUCUUCCAGCUGGGCUAAUUAUUUUGCAGAAACUUUUGUCUUUUGAAACACUUAUUUCUUAAUUUUUUUUUUUGCAGGGCACAUUGGCAAAUGUGGAAAAUCGAUCAGUAAGUUAUUCCUUCUCAGGUUUUUAUCUCUCGAAAGUUAAUAAUUAUUGUUCACAAAACAGAAAAAAAAAAAUACUAAGUGUAUAAAUUGAAGGAACUCUGAAAUUUGAAAUAGAUUCUGCCUCUUCUACAACUCCAUUCUGCACAAAAAUAUAAAACAUAAUUACAUAGUUAUACAUGAUUGCUGUAUUGAGUUUUGAAUAUGCCUUCAAAAUAUCUUUCAUUUCUUUCUUUCCAACCUGAUGUUCAUAAAAUUCAAGAAAAUCUGCUACACUUAAGGAUAAGCUUCUCUCAAGUAUAAAUAUUUUGAAUGUAAACUUUCCCUAAAUCUGAUAUCGUUUGGUGCCUGGGAUUCUAGUAGUUUUUGCCUGCUUUUGCUUUUAAUGUCUGGUGAGUUGGUCUUGUUUUAAUAUGAACUUAUUAUCUAUCCUCCUUGUAUUGAAUUCACUUUGAUCUUUGUCUCUAGGUCAAGUAACGAGGUUUAUACUGAGAGGUCUAUGGAGAUUGAAAAGAUCCUGAAGGAGCUCAGCUAAGGAUUGGUUUGGCGCUUACAAUGAUGUAUGACGCUAGCCUUGGGAUGUAGGUGUUUGUUAAUUGUUUUUAUUCAUACUUGGUUGUGGUCAUUACGGAGAUGCUUACUCUAAUUUAUAUACCUAUCCUCCUGGUAUUGAAUUCACUUUGAUCUUUGUCUCUAGGUCAAGUAACGAGGUUUAUACUGAGAGGUCUAUGGAGAUUGAAAAGAUCCUGAAGGAGCUCAGCUAAUGAUUGCUUUGGCGCUUACAAUGAUGUAUGGCGCUAGCCUUAUUGGGAUGUAGGCGUUUGUUAAUUGUUUUUAUGCAUACUUGGUUGUGGUCAUUACGGAGAUGCUUACAUCAUAUAUCCUACUAGUUAAAACUCAUUCAUCGUUGAUUGUGUGAUGCCCUUUUUGAAAGGUAUACUAUACACUGUCACUAAGAAGUUAAAAACUCAUACUGAUAUGUUUGUUGUUGAUCAGUGUUUUACUGCUAUGAAAUUGCUGGCUAAUGCUUGACAAAGUUAACUAUCUACAGCCUGCUACAAUAUAUUGUAUCGUAUCGUGACAAGCUUGCCUUUAAUAUCCUCAGACAGCUCAACUACACUAUGAAUAUACACUUCCGCCAAUGCUUACAUACACAUUUAAACCUUGCAAGAGAUUCUGAAGGCAAACGGUGUAAUAUUUCGACUAUAAUAUCCUCAGACACCUCAACUAUACUCUUUUCAAAUGAUUUGCAUAGAUACGUUCCAUACUAACACUUGUUUGAUCUCAGACCCUGAAAAUACAUGAGGC
rnacentral:lncRNA from 1 species